GGUUGAAAUGCAAGUCGGUAGAGCAUGAGACACUUAAUCUCAAGGCUGUGAGUUCGAGUCCCACUUUGGCCA